CACGGAUUCGCGUCUAAAUUACUAGCUGCUUGUCAACACCAUGGCUCCCACUAAGAUCUUCCUGACUCUCCUGAUGCUCCUCCUGUCAGUAUUUGCGUGCGGGGAACCAGUAGCUAGCAGGAGGUACGGACGCCACGGACACAGGAGCUCUGGAUACGGACGACGGAGCUACGGCUACGGUCACAGGAGUUACGGAUAUGGACACGGUCGUUAGAGGCCUAGAAUCCAAUGGCAUUCAUGAAGUAAAAGUCUGUAAAAGUACGACAACAGAAACGCAAAAAUGAAAAUACAAUUUAAACAAUUGCACUUAAAUAUGAAAGUUAAAAUGUCUUCUCUCGUAAGAAUAAGUUGCAGAUGGUUGUGUGUUUACUUUCUGAGAGGUUGUCCGCUUUACAUCAAAAGGAGGAAGACAUCUGGUAACUGUGUGUGUGGGUGAGGGGUUGUGUGAGGAUUUGUGUUGACAGAAUAAU